GUUGGAAUAGCUCAGUUGGAAUAGCGUUAGACUGAAGUCGUUAACUCAAUAGUCAUCUAAAGGCCCCCGGUUCAACCCCGGGUUCCGGCA
rnacentral:tRNA from 1 species